rnacentral:rRNA from 1 species
GAUGAACGCUGGCGGCGUGCCUAAUACAUGCAAGUCGAGCGAACAGACGAGGAGCUUGCUCCUCUGACGUUAGCGGCGGACGGGUGAGUAACACGUGGAUAACCUACCUAUAAGACUGGGAUAACUUCGGGAAACCGGAGCUAAUACCGGAUAAUAUAUUGAACCGCAUGGUUCAAUAGUGAAAGACGGUUUUGCUGUCACUUAUAGAUGGAUCCGCGCCGCAUUAGCUAGUUGGUAAGGUAACGGCUUACCAAGGGAACGAUGCGUAGCCGCCCUGAGAGGGUGAUCGGCCACACUGGAGCUGAGACACGGUCCAGACUCCUACGGGAGGCAGCAGUCGGGAAUCUUCCGCAAUGGGCGAAAGCCUGACGGAGCAACGCCGCGUGAGUGAUGAAGGUCUUCUGAUCGUAAAACUCUGUUAUUAGGGAAGAACAAAUGUGUAAGUAACUAUGCACGUCUUGACGGUACCUAAUCAGAAAGCCACGGCUAACUACGUG